rnacentral:hammerhead_ribozyme from 1 species
GCCCUGCUGAGGAGUCACACAAUAAGACGAAACGGCCGUCCAGUGC